UAGUAGUUACUACUUAACUGAUAAGUUAACUACUUAAGUAGUUACUUGGUUAAGGUCUCAAAGCUGAUAAGUGUCUGAGGAAGAAUUAGCAUUUAAAACAUGCUGAUUACAGGGCCAACCUUCUAGUCACCAUGUUAAUUGUGUAGGAAUUAUGUCACUAUGUAGGAAACCCUGUUCCUUUGAGUACUGGUCAGUGUUUCCUCAUGUUUGGUAAGGAUGGUAGUAUCAUACAUACAAAGUAUACAUAGCACUGUAGUAUACAAAUAUUAGUUGUUAACAUCAUUUCCUUCUGUGUUGUGGGUGGGGCUUUUCUGAGGGUUCCAAACCUAUAAUUUUAUUGAUAUAGGAAAAUACUGGGAGGUAGAAAUUCCCUUUGUUCGUGAAAUUUGGCCUUGUCUCAGUAACUUGGAGCACUACCUGAGGGGCUGAAGAUUUGAAAUUAAAAGAUCUGCUCUAUGAUCAUAAAUUGUAUAUCUCAAUCAUGGAACUUUCUAAUUCUAAAGUCAAUACAUCACCCAUUACCCUACAAUGACUCUCAUUAUCUUUUUAUAGUUGAGAAAAGUGAUAUAAAACAGGAAAAAGCAAAAAACAAAAACAAAACUGCCUUCAUUUGAAGUCAAGAUCACAUUCAAAUAAAGACAUUACUGCACAUUGGAUGGAAUAUUGGCUCUGGAGUUCAAGGCUGAGUAGUCAAUUCUAGAUCUAUGAUCUUAGGACUCCAUAAUAUGGAGAUAUCAGAGGACUUGGGUUCAUAUUUUGCCUCUGAUACUACCUGCAUGAUUUUAGAUAUCAAGUAACUUCUUUGGAUCUCAGUUUGUUCAUCUGUAAGGUUAAAGGUUUGGAUAACUUUUGAGAUCCCUUGUCAGCUCUAAAUCUAUGAGUUUAUGUACUCUAUGAAUUAGCAGGAUUGAUAUGAAUUAGCAUUAUUUUUUUUUUGUCAUUUUUCUUUUGUAUUAAGAUGCUUAGUUCUUAGAAAAGUUUUGGUUCAUAACAAAUCUUUUGGACAAAAAUCCUUGUUCACUUGUUGGCUUGUAGUAGAUGAUCUAUUCAGCUAGGGGUUACUAGGUGGUACAGUGGACAGGUCACUGCUUCUGAAGUCAGGGUACUAUUAUUGUUCAGAAGUAGUUCAGUGAUGUCCAACUCUUCAUGAUCUCAUUUGAAGUUUUCCUGGCAAAGAUACCUGGACUGGUUUGCCAUUUCCUUUGUAGCUCAUUUUAUAGGUAAGAAAGUAAGGCGAUGAAGGUUAAGUCAUUUGCCUCAACUUGAACCUAACUCUAAUCUCAGACAUUUGUUGUAUGAUCCUGGGCUUAACCUCUGUCCAACUCAGUUUCCUCAACUGUAAAAAUAGUUUUAACAACUGCACCUACCUUUUCAGGAUUGUGAUUAUCAACCUCCCAAGAUUGUGAACUUCAAACGAGAUAACAUUUGUAAAGAUCUUUACAAACCUUAAACAACUCUCUAUAAAUGUUAUCUAUUAGCUAGUACAGUGCUGCAGUCAAGGAGAUCCAAGUCCCAUAUUUGGAACAACACAGAGGAACAAAAUGCAGUAUAGUAAAUGAAUAUCAUAAGGCAAUGAUGGUGAGGUAGAUGGGACUAUUUGCUAUCAAGCCCCACAAAGUAAAAAGAGAAAGAUUAGAGGCCUGGGAGGGAUAGAUACUUAGAGCAACAAGAAACUUAAGUGACCAUAAUAUCUGGUCUUUAGUUUUAUGGACAAGGCUAAUCCAGGUCCUAUGCCAAAUCACAGUCAAUCACUUUUUUUUUUUUUAUCAGAACCCCAACUUUCUACUAACUAAUCUUCCUGGAGCAACUAGGUGGUGUAAUGGAUAGAAUGUCAGGCCUGAGUUCAAAUUUAACCUCAGACAUUCCUUAGCUAUGUGACUUUAGGUGUAUCACUUAACCUUGCUUGUCUCAGUUUUCUCAUCAGUCACAUGAGCUGGAGAAGGAAAUGACAAACAUAUAUCUUUGCCAAUAAAACCCCAAAUGACGUCAAGAGGAGUUGGGCAUGCCUGAAAUGACUGAAUAACAAUAUUCCCACUGAACUUUUCUUAUCUUCUCUGUACAUUUGGUUCCAUGUUUGGGCCCCAAACUACUUAAUACCUCUCCUUCAUACAACUUCAUACUUCAUCCAGCUCAGCCUCCUUUUAUCCCAUGACCUCCUCCUCCUCCAUUGUACUGCUUCUAUUUACAAAUGUAGCACUUCCAUUUUCAUGGCUACAUCCUUAAUCUUGCCAUCUCCAACAAAUUUAGCUCUUCCAUUUUUUAAUAAAUCUCAAAGUUCUUUGUUUACAAUCUACUAUCUUUCUUCCUCUUUCUCUGCCUUGAAACCCCCAACCUACUUUAUGACUUUAUCAUGGUGCAUAAUCCACCCUCGCCUCAGUUUCAAGCUCUUCACCCUUGCACUCAUUACAUUUUCCUCCCUUUCCCAUGAUUACCUCUUAGCAAACCAAUUUUUUCAGAUGGGAAAACUGAGGCAAGCUCUUUGAUAGAGUAAGGGGACCAAAGCUCUGUUCUAUCCUCUUUAGUCUUUAGUCCCGUUACUCUAUCAAAGAGCUUGCCCUGCCAAACUUCAGUUUUGGACCACUCCCAUCAUCAUCUCUCUGCCUAUGUUCCUAUAGGAUAUAUCUCUGACAUAUACUAUGUAGCCCCUAAGCUCUUAGUGUCCCAGAUUAGUUUUAGAGAAAGCAUUAGCUAUUGAUCCUGCCUAAUAAAUUUCAUAGCAGGAUCAUAAAUCUAGAGUUGAGAGAGAUCUUAGGAGGUCAUCUAGUGCAUGCAUGACCUCAGUUUUCCCAUCUAUAAAAAGGGAAGAAUGAGUUAUAUGUAUGGCCUCUGAUAUCUUUCCUGUGAUUUUAUUGUCUAUUGUCUAAAACAAUUGUAUUAUUGUUUAUUGGCGAAUAAUCCACAAAUUCAUUUUUUGCUAUUUCUCCCCUGCAGAGCAAACAAAUUUUGGACUCUUAUUUGGAGUUAUUCUCGGAUCUGUUUUAGUAACUACCGUAUUUGCCAGUGUUGUUUUUAUGCUGUACAGGAAGAGGAAAAACAGAUUGUUCAACCACCAUCGUUUUUUUGAUGAUUCGACUGAGCCAGAAUCUAGAAACUCGAAUGCGGCAUUGCCAUCCCACUCUCCUUAGUGACUUCCUCCUCAGGACCACCAUAUUGAGAAGGACCCAAGCCACACUUCAUCUAACUUUCGCCUGGACUCUACCUCCUUCUCUUCGCCUGCUUCAUUGUUCCUCCUGCCCAUUAUCCCUUUUCCCUAGCCCUCUCUCACCAGCUUUUCAGUACCUCUAUGGUGAGUUGUCUUCCCCAGGUUAGAAUGUAAGCUCUUUGAGGGUAGUGACUGUUUUGUUUGUUCAUGUUUGUACCCGCAGUGCUUAGCAUAUUAGCUGGCACAGAGCAAUUGUUUAAUAAAUACUUUAUCUAGUCAUCCAAUCCAUCGAUUACAUUGCCCCAAAGAGUAUGAAAAUAUUGCUGUCUCUCAGAAACAAUAACACAAAGCUUUGUUCACAUUCCAUGAAUUUCUAAAGACUGGAUCACCACGAUCCUGUUCUCUAUGUUACUGAAGGGAAAGGAUUGUCAAUGUCCUUUUAUCUAUCUUUAUAGAAUCUUACUGUACCCAUUUCCCAGUCACUUGGAAUUAUUAUCUAGAUUCAAGUGAAAGCAAUUGUCAUCUGUACUAUCCAUAGAACGGAAUGGUAAAUUCCCUUAAGUAAUAAAAUAAUGAAGGAUCUUUUUUUUUUUUUAAUAAAAUAUAAUAAGCUGAA